CAGGAAAACAAAGAACACCGCUACAUAUUCUUUAACCUUCUUUUCCAUACUCAAGUAACCCUAAAAAAACCCUGCAACUAAAUGCCGGUCCAUACCAGACCCGGCGGAGCUCUCAGCCGGGUGCAAAUCUGCUUUAAAGGCUGAGUUGGUGGGAAGAAGUUGGUGAGCAUUUAAUUCCAUUGCUCACCAUUUUUCUUGAAAAUCGCAUUAAUGGACUCUGAACCUUCAAAUUUUUAAAAGUGUUCGGCAUCUUAAUCGGGAAAAAAGUCCCAAGGAUAAUUCCAGGAAAACGGGAAUAAUUGCAACUUUGGGGCGUUUUAUAUGGUUUUUUCAAUUUUGAAGUCAACUGUUUGUCAUACAAAACAUAACCCCAAAAAAUCGAACCCCCAAAAACAUAGCUUGUAAGUUGUACCUACAAUAGAUCUGCAUGAGAAAAAACUCUCCCACUUGUAAGUCGCAGACAGCAGGUACCAGGUUUUCGUUUGACUUGCAGAUUUUAUACUUGAUGGUGUCUUUGAUUUUUAUUAUCUAUAAAACCUUUGUAAUUUCUUUGGCCUACACGUGUUGUAUACAAUUAUUAAAUUCUU